GGACAGUACUGACGCUGAGAUGCGAAAGCGUGGGGAGCAAACAGGAUUAGAUACCCUGGUAGUCCACGCUGUAAACGAUGUCGAUUUGGAGUUUGUUGCCUAGAGUGAUGGGCUCCGAAGCUAACGCGAUAAAUCGACCGCCUGGGGAGUACGGCCGCAAGGUUAAAACUCAAAUGAAUUGACGGGGGCCCGCACAAGCGGUGGAGCAUGCGGUUUAAUUCGAUGCAACGCGAAGAACCUUACCUGGUCUUGACAUCCAUAGAAUUCUGCAGAGAUGUGGGAGUGCCUUCGGGAACUAUGAGACAGGUGCUGCAUGGCUGUCGUCAGCUCGUGUUGUGAAAUGUUGGGUUAAGUCCCGCAACGAGCGCAACCCUUAUUCUUUGUUGCCAGCGAUUUGGUCGGGAACUCAAAGGAGACUGCCGUUGAUAAAGCGGAGGAAGGUGGGGACGACGUCAAGUCAUCAUGGCCCUUACGACCAGGGCUACACACGUGCUACAAUGGCGUAUACAGAGGGAAGCGAAGGUGCGAGCUGGAGCGGAUCUCAUAAAGUACGUCUAAGUUCGGAUUGGAGUCUGCAACUCGACUCCAUGAAGUCGGAAUCGCUAGUAAUCGUAGAUCAGAAUGCUACGGUGAAUACGUUCCCGGGCCUUGUACACACCGCCCGUCACACCAUGGGAGUGGGUUGCACCAGAAGUAGAUAGCUUAACCGCGAGGGGGGCGUUUACCACGGUGUGAUUCAUGACUGGGGUGAAGUCGUAACAAGGUAACCA
rnacentral:rRNA from 1 species